UACGUAGGGGGCUAGCGUUGUCCGGAAUUAUUGGGCGUAAAGAGCGUGUAGGCGGCCGAGUAAGUCCGACGUGAAAUCUGGAGGCUCAACCUCCAGCGGUUGUUGGAAACUACUCGGCUAGAGUCCGGAAGAGGAGAGUGGAAUUCCUGGUGUAGCGGUGAAAUGCGCAGAUAUCAGGAAGAACACCGAUGGCGAAAGCAGCUCUCUGGGACGGUACUGACGCUGAGACGCGAAAGCGUGGGGAGCGAACAGG
rnacentral:rRNA from 1 species